CAGUGGAUCCACUGGGGACAGUUCUAUGAGGAGUUCAGCUCAACAUCAUACAGAGGAGAUCGUACUGUGUAGGAGCACCAUUGGCACUAUGGCACAUUGAUGGAAAUCACAAACUGAUCAACUGGCGAAUUGUUAUUCAUGGAGGUAUUGAUGCGUACAGCCGAAAAAUAAUGUUUCUGAGAGCCAGCAACAACAAUCAAGCAACAACUGUGAGUUGCUUUCUUGCUGCUGUUAAAGAUUUCGGAUUACCUGUGAGGGUAAGAAGCGACAAGGGUGGAGAGAAUGUGGAGGUUGCCCGGUUUAUGCUGGAACACCCUCUUCGUGGAACAGAAAAGACCAGUUUUAUUACUGGCAGAAGUGUACACAACCAGAGGAUUGAGUGUCUUUGGCAAGACAUCUGGUGUGCAGUCACUUCAAAUUAUUAUCCUGCCUUCCAGUGCCUUCAAGAAAGUGGCACUCUGGACAUUCAAAAUGAAAUGUUAUCUGCCUACAUUACGUGAUGCU